UACGUAGGUGGCAAGCGUUGUCCGGAUUUAUUGGGUUUAAAGGGUGCGUAGGCGGCUUUGUAAGUCAGUGGUGAAAUACGGUAGCUCAACUAUCGAGGUGCCAUUGAUACUGCGGAGCUUGAGUACAGAUGAGGUAGGCGGAAUUGACGGUGUAGCGGUGAAAUGCUUAGAUAUCGUCAAGAACACCUAUAGCGAAGGCAGCUUACUAGGCUGUAACUGACGCUGAGGAGCGAAAGCGUGGGGAGCGAACAGG
rnacentral:rRNA from 1 species